AAACAAAAAGGUUUGGUCCUGGCCUUUUGACUAUUUUAUAGCAAAUUUACACAUGCGACUCCCCGCACCAGUGAGAAUGCCCUUUAUAUCAAGCUACGUGAAGAGGACCAGGCAUUAAGCACACUAAGCAGUAGCUCACGAUGCCUUGCUUAACCACGCCCCCAAAGGAUGCAGCAUUGAUAAAAAUUUAGCAAUGAAUAAAAGUUUGACUGAUUUAUGCUAUGAUAGGAUUGGUAAAUUUCAUGCCAGUCACUGUGGUCAUACGAUUAACCCAAAUUAAUAAACACUCAGCAUAAAGCGUGAUUAGGAGUAAAUAAAAAUAAAAUCAAAUACUAACUAAGCUGUAAAAAGUAAUAGUUAUCAACAAAAAUAACCAACGACAGUGAUUUUACAACCUCCGAACUCACUGGGCAGCUAAGACCCAAACUGGGAUUAGAUACCUCACUAUGCUUAGCCCUAAACCUUAAUAAUUCCAUAAAAAAAUUCUCCAGAGAACUACAAGUCAGAGCUUUAAACUCAAUGGUCUUGGUGGUGCAUUUUAUCCACCUAGAGGAGCCUAUUCUAUAAUCAAUAAACCCCGAUAACCCUUUCCACUCUUUGCCAACUCAGUCCAUACACCGCAAACUUCAGGGAUCCUUAAAAAGGAACAUAGUAAGCUUAAUUAUACUCAUAAAAACGUUAGGUCAAAGUGUAGCCUACAGAGUGGAAAGCAAUGGGCUACAUUUUCUACUACAGAACAUUUAUGAAAGCCCCUAUGAAAUGUUAAGGGCUAAAGGAGGAUUUAGAAGUAAAUUAAGAAUAGAGGGUGUCUCUGCUGUGGCCCAGGAGGACGGUGGAGGAUGGCCCAAGUGCUUGGGCGCCUGCACCUGCAUAGGAGACCAGGAAGAAGCACCUGUCUCCUGGCUUCGGCUUGCACAACACUGGCCAUAGCAGCCUUUUAGUGGGUGAACCAAAGGAAGAAAGACCUUUCUCUCUGUCUCUUUCUCUCUCUCUCUCUCUCACUAUCUAAAACUCUACCUGUCAAACAAACAAACAAAAAAAGAAUUUAGAAAAAAAAAAAGAAUAGAGAGCUUAAUUGAACCAGGCCAUGAAGCAUGCACACACUGCCCAUCUCCCUCCUCAAAUACUGUAUAAAUUCUUAUACAUAAUUACAAAAUAAACCAGUGUAAGAGAAAUGUAACAAGGUAAGCAUACUGGAAAGUGUGCUUGGAUAAUUCAGAGU
rnacentral:ncRNA from 1 species